AUAAUACCCUCACCCCUCCUAUCAAACCUCACUCAGUCGGUCAGUCACCCACAAUUUCAUCCUUCCUUUCUUCAUUCUCCAAGCUCCAAUUUCCCUUACAAACCAAACUUGAGGACGAUGAGCAAGAGGUCGAGAAGUAGCGAGCCAAAGGUCGAGUUGAGAGUGAACCUGAACCGGUUGCCAUCGCCAGCGACGUCGUCUUUGUCGGGGUCGGGGUCGUCAUCGGACAUAUCGGUGGAGAAUUCGUGCUUGGGGUGGGAGGGGGGCGUGGAAGAAGAGAUAAUAACAAGAUCCAUGAUGCUGGUGGGAUGUCCGGGGUGCUUCAUGUAUGUGAUGUUGACCGAGAAGAGCUCCCAAUGCCCCAAAUGCCACAACAACGUCUUCCUUGAUUUCUUCAAGCACCAGCAGCAGCAGCAGCAGCAUCAUGCCUAGCCAACCCACACCGCCAUUAUUAUCAAUAAUAUCAACCCUUUCUCAUCAUCAUUUUCUAUGUUCUUCGCUUUUUUUUCUAAUUUUUUUUUUUUAUAACAUCAUGAAUCCUAGGCUUAACUUUCUGAAUCCUCUGUUUCUCCUCCAUACGUUGUUGCCCUGUGGUUGCUAUCACUAAUUAACAUGUGCAUCUUUUUCUGUGUC